rnacentral:lncRNA from 1 species
GGCUAUUGUGUUGGGUAAAAGCCGAGCUUAACCUCAAGAAGAAACCACAUGGGAAAAGGGGAAGGAAAAAAGAGAGAGGCUGAGGCAGAGAUAGACAGAAGAGAUAAACCAAAAGCUGCUUGUGUCAUCUCGCCUUCUAGCACCCCAGAAUCCAGAAUGACAAAACUUCAAUAAAGAUCCUGCGAUGACACCAACUGAAUGUUAAGUGCUGAGAUGCGGAAACACAAUUAUGAGGCAGAAAUCUCAGACCCAAAAGAAUCAGGGCCACAGAG